rnacentral:lncRNA from 1 species
CCGAGGCUGACUGCGUGCACUGUGACACCUGAGGCUGACUGCGUGCACUGUGACACCGAGGCUGACUGCGUGCACUGUGACACCGAGGCUGACUGCGUGCACUGUGACUCCCAGGUGUCCUUCCCUCUACUUGCCCUUGGGUUUGUCUGAUGACGGCACCAGCAGACAAUAAGUGGCUGAUCCGGGGUCAGAUGUGCAUUGAAGUCGUCAGCGUGUGGUACUGACGGAAGCUGUGGGUGUGACUGAGGCCUCUCAGGAGGGACUGGGCAGUGAGGGGACAAUAGGCACUGAACACUGGGGAGAGCAGUGUGGCUCCUCCCAGAUCGUCCCCAGGCCUGAGGCUGCAGGGCCUCCAGGCAUGUGACCCGUGCAGGCUCUGCCCAGAGAUGUGACAUGCUCAUACCCAUGCAGGGCACAGCGGCUCCUGGAGUUGAAGGCGCUGUGGACACCUGAGUGAGACCGGUUAGAAAUGCCUGCCCUGCCUGGAUCAUGCCACCACAUCAAGUGUGACCCUGAACCUGAUCAUCUCCGUUCUCCCUGGGGUGUUGUCCCCUGGGUCCUUGUCACCAGCAGCAUCAGCCUUGCCGGGGCUCAUUGGAAUACAGAACCUCAGGCUGGCCCCUGGACCUACUGGAUCAGAACCUGCAUUCUGAAAAGGUCCUGGUGAGUCACAGGCAGAGGAAAGCCUCAGGAGCACUCCCUGCGUGCAUCACAGAAGCCCCGCUCACCCUGAGGCCUCGGUGUGGGCUGUGGUGCCCACAGCUCCAGCUCUCUAGGAACCAAUUAGAACUCCUGGUCAAAGAUGUGGAAGGAACGGACUCUUCCUCCAGAAUCCCCGUGAGAGAGACAAGGAAUGGGCAUUAAACCAAGCUAAGGGGAGGGGGCCGUAACGAGGCUCUGGGAGCUCCUGGGAAACGGUGACCAGUGACCAGCUCAGUGAGGCUAGGACCCUCGCUGGCGAGAUGGGAGGAGUUUUCCUCUUGAAGAAUCUGGCCAGGCUGUGAAAGAAGCCCAAUGGACAUGGACAUGAGGGGUUUCCCAAGAGAAUGCCCUAACAAGGGUGCAUCACAGAGGGCACAUGGGACCUGAGCACGGAGCUUCCAACAAGCUUUUCCUUCCUGCGAUUUGAAGUCAGCACCCCCAGACAGAGGAAAAUACGGAACGUGACAGUAGCAGACAUGGUCCUAUGAAGAGAGAAGAAAAUGUCAAAAUCACAACUGUGAGCGUCCUCAAGGGGUGAAAGAGGACACUCCAGCAGAUAACAAGGAUAGGAUGCUAUUAAAAAGAGCAUGAAAAUGUGAUUAAAAACACAGAAGUCAUAAAAACUGUGGACUCGGAACAAAUCAGCAGACCUACUGACUGUCAAGGUUUUACUGAAAAUGUCCUUGUGCCGGCAGCAUCGCCCUGGUAGGCCAGUGAAUGGAGCCAGUACACACCUCUCUUUCCCUGCCUGCUGUUGACGAUCUCCUCCGCCCCCAGAGCCUGGAGGCCCGUUUCCUCCUCAUCUUGCCCAUCGGAGAAGAUCCACUCUGCUGCUCCAGGCAGACUUCUGGGCGUCCCUGGGACUCUGUCCAGCUGUGCAUCCUUCCUCUCCUGGCCAGAACGCAGGUCCCUCAGGAUGGCCCUGGCCCUGUGUCCACUGCCGUUCCUCCACGUCUGCCAUGCUGCUUGGCACACGGUAGGCGCUCGGGAUCCCGAGAGGACCCAGAUGAGGAUGCGGCUCCAGCUGUCUUCCUUCUGCAAACCCCUGAGGAUUCCUCUCCAGGGAGGAUUUUGAGUGGGGCAUGAGGAAUAUGCGUGUCUUCCAGGGAGAGGCUGUCUGAGACCACAAGCAGAGAGGGAGAUCCGUGUUCAGAGAGGCUGUUUGUCACCAGUGGGGGUCGGCGUGGUCAGGACGGGCCGGCAGAGGACCUGCAGGACUGGACAGAGCGGACGGGCGCUGCCCGAGUUGUCCCACACCUCCCCCAUCAGCACACUUCGAGAAGCGGGUCCUGACCAGCUCCAGUCCAUUGCGGGAAGCAGCCCUCAGACACGGGGACAGCUGCGGGCUCAUGGUCCUGAGAACCUGGCUCUCCUGCCACUGGGAGGGCUCACGGAGGACGCCUGGAACCCCCUCCGUCACCUCUUCAGACAGUCAGGAGCCUGCUUUCCCCAAAACUGGAAGGUUGGAGCCAUAGGAAAUGUCCCCAUCAUAUCAGA